rnacentral:rRNA from 1 species
CAGCAGCCGCGGUAAUACGUAGGGUGCAAGCGUUAAUCGGAAUUACUGGGCGUAGAGCGUGCGCAGGCGGUUCGCUAAGACAGAUGUGAAAUCCCCGGGCUUAACCUGGGAACUGCAUUUGUGACUGGCGGGCUAGAGUAUGGCAGAGGGGGGUAGAAUUCCACGUGUAGCAGUGAAAUGCGUAGAGAUGUGGAGGAAUACCGAUGGCGAAGGCAGCCCCCUGGGCCAAUACUGACGCUCAUGCACGAAAGCGUGGGGAGCAAACAGGAUUAGAUACCCGCGUAGUCCCUGUCUCUUAUAC